rnacentral:rRNA from 1 species
GACGAGCGCUGGCGGCAUGCCUAACACAUGCAAGUCGAACGGGGCGAUUCCUUCGGGGAUCGCUUAGUGGCGAACGGGUGAGUAACGCGUGAGGAACCUGCCUUUCAGUGGGGGACAACAGUUGGAAACGACUGCUAAUGCCGCAUAAUGUAGCGAGACCGCAUGAUCUUGCUACCAAAGCUUUAUGUGCCGAAAGAUGGCCUCGCGUCUGAUUAGCUAGUUGGUGGGGCAACGGCCCACCAAGGCGACGAUCAGUAGCCGGUCUGAGAGGAUGAACGGCCACAUUGGGACUGAGAUACGGCCCAG